AAUGUACUUAAUAUGUUUUUAUGUCGACAAACACAUUUUCUACUUGGCAGAGAAAGAAAAGGCCUGUUUUGGGUUUGGGGCUGUGGAGUGAUUUAUAAAGGGCAUUAGCACCAGAGAAACACUCCUGCUAUGGCCUCAUGGGCUGGCGUUCUCUGGUGACCGACUUUCACCCUCCACCUCUUCCUCUCCCUGCAAUCUCCUCCAGUCUGUCCACCUGUCAUUCCUCCCUUUCCAAUACUUCUCACUCUUCUCACCAAACUCUUUUGCCUGUUCACAUCGCUUGUUGUGCCCAGCUCACCCUCUCACUAUCACUCUUUCUCCAAGGAUUCUCGAGGAAAAUGGCCGCCGAGCAGAAGCUCUCAGGGUGGAUGUGGGUUGGUUGCACAGAACAAGCCAGGGGCCUGGAAAGACACUGUGGACAGAAAAGGUGGCCACUGGGUCAGCUCUGACCUGUUCCUCCGUGGUGACGGCUCAUGCAUCCUAUGAAAGGCGGAGGAGAUUACCAGGAAUACCUCGUAUAAAUAAAAUGCUUUCCAGGCCUCCGUGGCCCUGGGUGCGAAGCCCUUUGAAGAAGCCUUCCGGGUCUGCCAUGAGUGGGGAAAAAUGCUGUCUGGGCUGGUGGUAUUUCUGGAGAGAAGAUGAAGUAAAGAAAAACAGUCCCACAAAUCACUCCUCAAUGAGGUGAGAGUCGCCACGGCAACCUGCUCAGGGCUGAGCACCAAGGAGGCAGGAGAGGUGAAGCACCACUUCAGGACAAGGGGCCGAGUGCAGGAUGCUUCCUCAGCACCUGCUGCUGAACGAACACACAGCUCCUGAGCUGCCUGCUGGCAAUCAAGGGAGCCCGCCGGGGCUGCAGGAGCGGGGCCAGGAGGGGCCCGUGGUCAGCCUGGUGCCCUGGAAAGUCACUAGACUGAGUCCCACUCUAUCAGCCAGGCUGGAGUGCAGUAGCAUGAUCUCAGCUCACUGCAACCUUAUUCUCCUGGGUUCAAGCGAUCCUCAUGCCCAGGCUGCAUGCUUUAAAGCUGCCCAGGUGAGUUGGUGGCGUGGCUGGGUUGGGAACCACUAUCACAGGAAUAGGAACACUUGUCCAAGGCGCUUAUGGUUGGUUUGUGCAUUCCCUUGCUGACAGCAUCCAGAUUUUAGCCACUUCAUCAGAAGAAAGUGAUUAGUCAGGAUUAGCUGAGCUCAAUGCUGCAAAAAAGAAAAACAAGCACCUUCUCAUAGACCAAUGAGCGCACGCACAUAGCCCAUGGCGCAGAGGUAGAUGUCUUAACUAUGUAAGUAGACAUUUCCCAAUAUGUAAGUAGACAUAUUGGGAAAUUUUUCAAUUUUUGUCCUCCCAGAAUUUCAAAAGCAGUAUUUUACAUGUUCUUGACUUAGGGCAGCCAAUUUUCACUAAUGAGCCCUGCAGGAGGUGAUCCGAUACAAACCCUCAUCCAUGACACACUGCCACCCCCCAGCACUGCAUAGGCGUCUUCCAUUAGGAGCUCACUGCCGCCCUAGUUGACACAUCAUCCCCAUUUCACAGAUGAGGCACAGUAAGGAACUUGCCCAAAGGCACACAGCUACCAAGCGGGGAGCCUGUCUGACUCGCCUGCUUCUUAUCUCCGAUGAAAAAGACAAGAGCUAGGCAAUGCGCCCCAUGUCACAAAUACUACGUUCAUCGAGGGGAACCAUCUGACACCAGGCCCUGAGUAAGGACAGGCAAGCGUGAGGUGCUGGAGGGUGCUGCACUGGGUGGGACUGGACUAGACGUGGCCACCCCAUCUACAGAGAGUGCAGCCUUAACAGUGAACAGGCCCCUCCCACUGGGGGUCACCUAACAUGACACAGCAACCCUGGUCUACAAAAUAACUAAGUCUAAAACUUCUCACCCUGUCUCCUAUGCUGAAAAUUCAAAUACUGAAAGGUCUGGUUCAAGACUGGAGCCAGUGACAAAUCCUCUCCCUGGAGGUCUGCAGCCAACUUCCGCCCUCCUUAGGGCCCCCAGAUUCACGGUUUGCUGGAGGCUGGAGAGGCAGGUUCCAGAUCUGCUGCCUGCCAACUGUGUGACCACGUGUAAAUUACUUUACUCUGAAAAAAAGGAAGGACAUCUAUGGUUCUAUGCUUGGGAGAGGGUGAAACAAAACUUAUGAAUGUUCCUGGCACAAGGCUCAGCCCAGGAUGAAACCACCGUGAAUGAGAAAUCAUAAUGGAACUGUGCAUGUUCUCCACCAGAAAUCUCACCAAAAUGCAAGGCAGUCCCAAACCUGGGCUGAUUGAGGUGAACACUCACAGUGGUAGGGGCAGGAGGGCAGAUGAAAACCAUUUGUAGUAUAUUUGCAGGAGGAAGAUCCUGCUCCUGCACAGAAAUUCCACCAGGUGGCGCCAUGGGAGAACUUUCACAGCCUUCGAGGUCUGCACCCCAAGGCAGUGGGCUCUGGAGUCCCUGCCAAAGAGCAUUGGGAGUUCAUUAGCCAGUUCAGCGCUAAGGAAAGCUGGGGUCUCGGUUGCUCUUCAAGGAUUUUCUUAACCUCCUUAAUCCAGAUGUUCAUGAAAAUGGGGUGUUACAUGGACACAUAGAGGAGAACAACACACACUGGGGCCUUUGGGAGGGUGGAGGGUGAGGCAAGGGAAAGGAUAGGAAAAAUAAUGAAUGGGUACUAGGCUGCAUACCUGGGUGAUGAAAUAAUCUGUACAACAAAC
rnacentral:lncRNA from 1 species